UAGAAUUGAGAAAUCAACUCCAGUAACACCAAACAGUCACAUCUAAGUAACAUGCACUAAAAGAAACAGAUGUAGAAUCCGCUAAACAAUCAGGAACAAAGUAGAUGCUAACAUAAGACACUUCUUUUCGGCAUGGUUUCAGCAAUAAAGAUGGCAACAAAAGUAAAGCAGAAAGGUGAAUCAUGGAUCAACCUCAUGAUAGGGAUUAGGGUGCAAGGGGGAAGAGAGAGAACACCAAAAGCAGGCAUACGAGCACGGAAAAUAAAGAUGCAUGAAGACAGAGAAUUAUAGAAAGGAGCUUACACAGUUUGACAAGUGAAUAACAUGAACAUUACAAGGGUCUGACGUUCCUCCUCCCACUCAUGGCUAGCUUGGAUUGUUCUAUUAGCACAUCGGAUUGAUAUACAAUAAGAUGUCAAGAAGGAGAUAAAUAAAAGACCCAUGGUUGACAGACGUGUAUAUGAAAAUGUUCAAACAAAUCCUAGAAGAAGUCAAAAGACAUUAGCGAAGUAUCUACCUCACAGUUUUGUACAUAUCUUUGAAGGUUUCUACCAAAUAAUCUGCAACAAGGCAAAUUUUCUGUCAAAAUUCCUUGUAAUUUAAAGUUGAUGAAAAACAUUAGGCCUUACACUUAGUACUCAGCAUUAUCUCACAAGGGAAAGAAGCAACUGCUUGAGUGAAUAUACACAUUGAAACUUAUGAUCCUCUAUCCAGUAUAGAAAAAAGUGACCUUCAUGUAGCUAAUACUAGAGAUAAGUUGGACUGAGAUUUAUUGAUAUAAAAGCAUGAGUGUGUUGCUAAUACAUACCACGUGAAAUCAAUUGGUAA